CUGAUGACAAAAAAAAACGAAGACAAAGUAAAGUUGCCUGUUCUCUCUCCUCAUUCCUCCCUCUCCUUAACCGGUAAACCCUAAUCCUUCAUCUCUCUCCUCUUCAUAUCUGCUCCUUCCUCCUUUCUCCUUCCUCCUUCCUCCUUCCUCCUUCCUCCUUCCUCCUUCCCCCUCCCUCUCAAUCCACCAAAGCAACGGACGCUUAUUGAAGAGAUAGUCAGAUAGAGACUGAGGAGAGAGAAAGUGAAACAAGAAAAAAAAAGAAUCCAAAAAAAGGGUUUCUUCAACUCUCCAUCUCUAAGAAGUGUUAUGCAACAUGGUUUGGUGCAUGCCCUGGUUUGAAAGUACUUGCUCCAUAUUCAGCAGAGGAUGCCCGAGGGUUGCUCAAAGCUGCCAUUAGGGAUCCAGACCCUGUUGUUUUUCUAGAAAAUGAGCUUUUAUAUGGUGAAUCGUUUCCUGUUGCAGAUGAAGUUCUUGACGCUAAUUUCCCCCUUCCAAUUGGGAAAGCGAAGGUAGAACAACAAGGGAAGGAUGUCACAAUCACUGCUUUCUCUAAGAUGGUGGGCAACGCUCUCAAGGUUAUACAUACACGAGCCCGUUAUUUAUCUGAUGAUGCAGCAAGCCAUCAAGGGAAGUGGCUUACGAGAGUUGAAUAUAGAAUAUCUGAAGAAAUGUGACUUUGAAGCUUUUGUUGUUAGAGCAUACUUCUUUGUGUUCAUCUUCAAUCUUGCGUCUUCUGAUUUUUAGGGAGUUUUGUGUAAAUUAGUUAUUUAGUUUCCAAAGUACUCUGACCAUUAUUGUGGAAUGGCAAAUUUUUUUCUGUUUACAAUUUUGCUUGGGAUAUUGAUUUGUUCUUCCAUCCUUUUCUUCUUGGUUGAAAUAAUUUCAGUGCGUUGGAUUCUCUAAUUGACUGAGUAUUCAAUUGUUA